GUUGUAUGGUUAAGUGACUAAGCGUACAUGGUGGAUGCCUUGGCAGUCAGAGGCGAUGAAGGACGUACUAACCUGCGAUAAGCUGUGAGAAGUCGGUAAGAGACGCUAUUACUCACAGAUUUCCGAAUGGGGAAACCCACCCGAGAUAACUCGGGUAUCUGUUACUGAAUACAUAGGUAACAGAGGCGAACCGGGAGAACUGAAACAUCUAAGUACCCCGAGGAAAAGAAAUCAACCGAGAUUCCCUCAGUAGCGGCGAGCGAACGGGGAUU
rnacentral:rRNA from 1 species